rnacentral:pre_miRNA from 1 species
AAUCCUUGGAACCUAGGUGUGAGUGUUGUUUCAAUGCAACACACCUAUUCAAGGAUUCA